CUUCUCUUCCACAGUUUCAAAGGAACGUGUGCUCCUCUCUGGAGCCCAGCUGCAUGCCUAAGAAAAUAUUUUCUGAGCAGUAAUAUUAACCAGAAGUAUGUUAACUUCCCAAAGAUCUAUUAGCUCUGGUAGCUAUCAAGCAACAAUUCUGACAAUCUCUCCACUUGGAAGCAGAUUUUUAAAGAAAUCUGCACACAUCUAAUAGCCAUCAGGACAAGUGAGAUUCUUUUGCCAAGAGGAAAAGAUUAUUACUUGCAGCCAUGGAAAACACAGAAGCUAUCAAGAUGCUAUAAUUCUCCCUGCAGAUCCAAUACAGAAUGUGUACAAAAACGUCCAACACCCAUAGCUGCUUGCCUCCACUCAGGGCUACGAACACAGGAGUUAAUGCUAGUUAGUUAAAGAGGUAUUCUUAGACAGGUAUGCAGCUGAGAGCCAAAGACUAACAAUUUUGAAUCAGGUGUUUGGAAGAUACAGGUAUAUAUGUGAGCAUCUGAAGAACAGGAAAGAAGAAUGUUACUUGUCUCAUAACUGAAAGAUGAUAUUUAUUUCCCCAUGCAUUUUUAAAUAUGCUUACAGAGUUUCAUGAAACAGAACUCCCAGGGCAGGGCUGGGGGGAGAAAAAGGAAGCUGUCUGUGUGUACAGCAGCCUGAGUUACAGCCAGGGCCCAACCCAGAUGGGCUGUGGUGGGAAUCCCAAGCAGCCCUGUUACCACACUCCAGUGCAUUGUACCAGUGAGGGAACCUAGAUAUCUUAGUCUCUCACCAUUUCCUGAUGAACGCACCUGAUCAAAGACAGGUUAAGCAGCAUGAACAAUUCCUCAUCAGGAAGACCUGAGGUGAGGUUUUUGCACCGUGCUAAGUGCAAAGCCGUGCUGCCAGCUUUUGUAGGCACACUGUAAGGUGUAAGGUCAGGCUGGGCAGGUUGUCUUCUGGAGGCACUCUGAACAGCCUUUUGUAAGGCAUCCUGAGAAAAAGUAACCUGCCGCAGGCAAGAAGUGCUGGGCAACAGCUACCAGGGACUGCAGGAUGCUGUUCUGGCUUGUGGAAGCCUUUACCAGGACUGCUUUUCCUGAAAAUACACACCUGAAGUGUCUUUGAGAGAUUCAAGCUUGACUUCUUGGUCCAUCAGAAUUCCAACUUUUUUAGUGUUACUGAUCUUCUAGCAGGGCUACUACAUAAAGAGUAUAAAUCACGUAUCUGGUGUUAAAGGUGGCUAUCUCCUGCAUUUAUUGAUGGCCAGCAGGGCUGGGACAACAGUUGAAUCUCUUGUGCAGCCCUCCUGAAGUCACUGCCUCAGCUCUGAAGCACAGCAGACUCAUUGUAGACUAAUCUUUCCUACUGAGAAAUCUGUAGUACCAAUUUUUUGCCAAAUCAGUGGUUGAUUUAUCCCUGUUGCAACUCCACUGAGUUCACUCAAGCUACAUAAGUCACAAAUCUAGCUCUUACUUCCUCAGUAGAGAGUAAUGCUUUUUCCUUUGAAACCUUAUGAGUGAACCACUGGAUGCACCACUGUACACCCUGCUCCCGCAAAGCAUGUAAACACACCUGUGGGAAGCAUAUGAGAAACCUACUGAGAGGGGAACUGGUCUACUUCCAUAGCCAUAUCACUUUGUCAGCCUCUUUCCCGAUACCUGUACAUAUUAUUCAGCAAGAGUGCGCUCCUUUGGGCAUUCGGCUUAGAAGAGAUAAAACAGACAGUGGAAAGAUGCCCACUGCUUGCCCUGAAAGCUCUCCUGUGCCCUGAGUAUGCCAACAGCAGCAUGAAAGCUCUGCAAGGGUAAGCCAAUGAGUCUCUCUCUUCUGUAACAAACCCAUCUACUGUGCCUGUAUUUACUAGUGAUUUACCAGACAUGAGAGACAUCUGCUCUUGAGCCCUUCCCUAAGAUCCUCCUACUUAACACCACCAGUUACUCCUUAACAAUCCCUGCUGUCCACUUCCAGUUAUAAGUCCCUCCAAAUCUCAGCAAAAAAAACAUGCUGCAAUCCCCACGCUUAUAUUACAGCUAAUACUCUUUCUCUUGUGCUCUGUUUUCAGUGCACAUUGUUUUGAUGGACCUCACCUGACCUACAUUUCCCUCUUCCGUGCCCGGUCUGGGAAGUCACUGAAUAAUAUUGCAACACCUUUCUCUCUUUAUUUUUUCGGGAAGGGGGGGGGGGGGGGAUGGUUUGCUUCUGGCUGUUUACAUCUUCAUUAGGUCUUCAUUCUCUUGCCUGAAUUCUUUUUUUAGUUCUGCUUUUUAUACCUGUCCAGCAAACAUCUUGCAAAGUUCCUCAUCAGCACCACAGCACCAAUAUUCUUGUCAUGCUGUGUCUGUACUGCAUGGCUCCUACAGGCUGUCCCUUU
ensembl:lncRNA